rnacentral:rRNA from 1 species
UACGUAGGGGGCUAGCGUUGUCCGGAAUCAUUGGGCGUAAAGCGCGUGUAGGCGGUCCGGUAAGUCCGCUGUGAAAGUCGGGGGCUCAACCCUCGGAUGCCGGUGGAUACUGUCGGGCUUGAGUACGGAAGAGGCGAGUGGAAUUCCUGGUGUAGCGGUGAAAUGCGCAGAGUAUCAGGAGGAACACCAAUUGCGAAGGCAGCUCGCUGGGACGUUACUGACGCUGAGACGCGAAGCGUGGGAGCAAACAGG